UAUAUCUUAUGAGAUAUUGAAUAGCGAUACCAAUGUUCUAUGCUGCUGUCAUUUCAGUCUGCAUAGUCAUUAUCAAAAUUGGUGUUGCCAUAUCAUUACUACUUUGGCUAAUUCAACGAUCCACUUCCAAGUUCUUUGGUGUCGAGCUGAGCAUGUGGUUAUCUUACAUCUUGGUAUGUCCAUAGGAUACGGUCAUCCUGAUACUCGAUGCGUUGUACCAUGACCGUGACUGUGCCAAGUCCUUCGUGCUUGAGACCAUAGCCAGGGUGCAGUAUUUCGCAUACAGAAGCAGCAGGAUCUUCCUUCAUAUCCUUUAUUGUAGAUCACAUAUUCCUUUGCAUUAAAGAUGCUGGUAAGGAGUAGCAACCAAUCAACUUUGAGUAUGCUAUUUGUAGACAUCUAUACUGACUUCUUCAUUAAACUUUUAUUUGCGUCGAUAGAGUUUCAGCUUGAACUUCUAAAGCAGUCACUGUUCUUCUCAUGGAAUUUGUUUUGCUUGUCAAUCUAUUGAGUGUUGUAUGCUUGGCUGAUUACAUCAUCAUUCAAGCUUUCUUGUGAGAGAUUUUUUUUUGUAUUGUAGUCACCUACUGACAUGAUGACAACUGUUUUCUGGUGGUUUCCAGGUGGUGCUGAAGUCGGCUAGGAGGGGCAGCGCCGCGACGAUGAGGAAGCCGUCGGGGACAAGGCCCAGGGCGGCAAAGCGAGCCCAAGUAAGCUGCUGCCGGCCACCUUCCAGAAAAUUACAGGUUAGAUAUAUAAUCGAUGGGAGUUUCUUUCAGUAAACCAUGCCCUCAGUUUAUCUCAUUUUGUGGUUACCCGAAUGACUAUUUGUUGUUGUUCAGUACCUAUAAAAGUUCAGAGAUGAGCUUAUCUCCUCACACAUAUCCUACUGGGAGCUUGCCUAUUGGAUAAGUGUCUAAAUCUUUGCCACCAUUUGAGCACCCAAGCCAUCAAUUUCUAGAGAAAAAAGAAUUCCAGCAACAAAGGUUCAUUUCUAAACAACUUGUGGUACAAUAAGUUCAAGAAUAAAUGCAUUGAUGAGUGUAAGUAGUUCAGAAUCGAUUUGAGUGAGGUGCAGCUUCCUCUCAUAUUCUCUUGUCGUGGCAACUUUAUAACUGUUUGUUGAAGAAAAGUAGUUUACAACUAAAGUAGUGUAUAAAGUCAGUCAAGUUUAACUAUUAUGAUCUACUAUAAUCAUUGCUCUUUAACUUCCAGCUACUGGAAUCUUAAAAGUGAGGUUGCUUUCCAACUACAAUUGUAUAAUUUGUAAGUAAUUAUCAUGUCUGAGAAGGGGGAUCAAUCCCUCCUUUUGGAGACAUUUGGAUUUUUUCCACUUUGUUCAUGGGGCUUCGCAGAUUUGCCACUUUGGAGAAUUGAUUCGCAUAAAUGCCACUUAAGUCGUGGAGUCCUUGAUUAGUAUGCCAUUAGCUCCACUUUUAUUCAUUUUAAUUAAUUUUUUCACAUUAUCGGGCUAGUCAAAGACUAACUUACCCCUGUGGCUAUCUACACGUACACACAUCUGGCAUCGAAUCAGCACCUGAACCAUCAAAGAGGGCGCUGCAUGCUGAUAAUAUCGCGUGUGCCAUACCGUCAGUUGACUGGAUGCCAUGCUUCGGCGGUUCUGACGCCGCCGAUCCCCUGGAUGCCUCUUGCCACCGGCUGGACGUCAUGCGCUGCCGAUUGCCUGCAGGCCAGGCGCCGUGGAUCGUUCGGUACAGCGGCGGCGGCAUAAACACCACAAAGUCUGCCCCAGGCAGUCGUCCAGAGAACUCUUGCCGGCCGACGGCAGCUCCUCCGCGACCACCUCCCUCUGCGUCCUCCCAUCCUCCCGUGACAUGCCCUACCUCCUCCUUAUGCCAAGUGACUGAACAACGACCAGGACGGGCGGCGUGAGUGGUGCCCACAGAUGGUGGUCUGGUGGAACGAGCAGUGUGCGGCUGAGUGGCACGAGCGACGACUGGAGGCGUCAGCGGGCGCUCUGUCUGGCGACGAGAAAUUUUUGUGGCUCCUUUCACCCUGUCAAACUUAGAUCGAUAGCCAGAUACAAAUACUUAGCACGUGUACUUAGCAUCAGGGGUAGUUUGGUCUUUUCUAAUGCCUAUAAAUGAGGAAAGAAGAAAGAAAUCAAUAAAAGGAGGCAAAUGGCAUGACAAUCAAGGAGUCAAUGUCAUGAGUGGCAAUUUUACGAAGCCAAUCUUGAAAAUGGCAAUUUUGAGAAGCCCGAUAUUGAAAGUAGCAAAUAUGUGAUUUUCUCAUCCGUUUUGGCUACAUGAUGGUAUGAUCCUUUUUUAGUGGAUUUCUUACAUGCCGUCAUGACUUGUUUCACUCAGUUUUAUGUUGAGUGAUCGAGUGUGUAGUGUACUCAUGGUAUCCUGCACUUUAUGUAAUCCUAUAAAGAUAGGAUUCAUAGUGUUUUUGGAAGGUUGGCUGGUCUUUGGGGUCCCUAAGAAAUGCGUUUGAACGCUGAUCGAUCGGGCGAUAGCGGCGAAGGAAAAAGCAAAAGCACUGCUGUAGUUAAACACUCAAGCUGCAGAUGCAUGUGAUACAUUAUACGGGGGAGGCGACGUUUUUAUGGCUUGGUUUGGUAGGAUUCAAAUGACACUUCUUAGGAAAGACUGCUCUGAUGUAAUUAAGUUUCACCUUCUUAAGUCUGGCUACAUUAAACCAUCAAACUAUAUAUAGAAAAUAAAUGUAUUCUUAUCAUGUAUCCCCUGGAAUCCACAUAACAAGAACAGGAUAUUAAUUGGAUGCUAUGCACUGGACAUUGCGGCACGAUGAUUGGUUCCUUGAUGAAGAUACAAAGGUAUUCCGUUUCUUCAGGUAUUACACAUUUAUGUGGAUCCAGUUUGUUGUAUUUGGAUAUCUCAUCAUGUCCAUUUUUCAUUGUUGUAAUUUCUCCGUUCUAUAAUGUACUACGCAUGUCCUGUCUGUUUGUAAUGCGCUGGCCCAUAUUCUUGCCAUCUAUUCUUAAUCAUCUCCAAGCAGUUGUGUUUAGAAUGGCAUUCUUAUUUUCUGUAAGCAUUUAAUUCAUAGAGAAUUGAAAUCACCUGGUUUGCUUUAGCAUUUAAAAGAGGCAAAGAUAACAUACUGCCUAUGUGGGGAAAAGAUUGGUAUGUUGGUAUUAGCUUUAAAUGUGAUCACUGAUGCUUAUUGGCUGUAGUUGUGGUUUCAGAAGUAGCAUGCUAACAGUCAUCAUAUAUUGGCUAAUUUUGAUGAAGACCAAAAGAAUUCCAAUGAGAGGCAUCAUGCUGAUUCUGAUGUGGAAAUGGAUGAUGCCAAGCCUCCAGAGGACUCUCAAAGGUGUUCUUUUUAUUUGGUUCCUUAGUCGUGGCCUCAUGACGUCUCUUUCAUCAGUCAAACUGAAGCACUUUUUGUCAGCUUGUCUUCGCUUUUUUUCUUCUCAGCCGAUUAUGCUCCAUGGUUGAGUCGUCAUAUCCUUAAUAGAUGUACCACUGCCUAUGAGGGUUCUGAACUCAAAUAAUAUAAUAUAUGUAUGUUUGAUCGA